rnacentral:rRNA from 1 species
GAUGAACGCUGGCGGCGUGCCUAAUACAUGCAAGUCGAGCGAACGGACGAGAAGCUUGCUUCUCUGAUGUUAGCGGCGGACGGGUGAGUAACACGUGGAUAACCUACCUAUAAGACUGGGAUAACUACGGGAAACCGUAGCUAAUACAGGAUAAUAUUUUGAACCGCAUGGUUCAAAAGUGAAAGACGGUCUUGCUGUCACUUAUAGAUGGAUCCGCGCUGGAUUAGCUAGUUGGUAAGGUAACGGCUUACCAAGGCAACGAUGCAUAGCCGACCUGAGAGGGUGAUCGGCCACACUGGAACUGAGACACGGUCCAGACUCCUACGGGAGGCAGCAGUGGGGAAUCUUCGGCAAUGGGCGCAAGCCUGACGCAGCAACGCCGCGUGAGUGAUGAAGGUCUUCGGAUCGUAAAACUCUUUUAUUAGGGAAGAACAUAUGUGUAAGAAACUGUGCACAUCUUGACGGUACCUAAUCAAAAAGCCACGGCUAACUACGUG